rnacentral:rRNA from 1 species
AUUGCCUCAGUAACGGCGAGUGAAGCGGCAAGAGCUCAAAUUUGAAAGCUGGCCCCUUCGGGGUCCGCAUUGUAAUUUGCAGAGGAUGCUUCGGGUGCGGCCCCUGUCUAAGUGCCCUGGAACGGGCCGUCAGAGAGGGUGAGAAUCCCGUCUGGGACGGGGUGCCCGUGCCCGUGUGAAGCUCCUUCGACGAGUCGAGUUGUUUGGGAAUGCAGCUCUAAAUGGGUGGUAAAUUUCAUCUAAAGCUAAAUACUGGCCGGAGACCGAUAGCGCACAAGUAGAGUGAUCGAAAGAUGAAAAGCACUUUGAAAAGAGAGUUAAACAGCACGUGAAAUUGUUGAAAGGGAAGCGCUUGCGACCAGACUCGCCCCCGGGGUUCAGCCGGCAUUCGUGCCGGUGUACUUCCCCGGGGGCGGGCCAGCGUCGGUUUGGGCGGCCGGUCAAAGGCCCCCGGAAUGUAUCGCCCUUCGGGGCGCCUUAUAGCCGGGGGUGCAAUGCGGCCCGCCUGGACCGAGGAACGCGCUUCGGCUCGGACGCUGGCAUAAUGGUCGUAAACGACCCGUCUUGAAACACGGACCAAGGAGUCUAACAUCUACGCGAGUGUUCGGGUGUCAAACCCGUACGCGCAGUGAAAGCGAACGGAGGUGGGAGCCCCCUCGUGGGGCGCACCAUCAACCGAUCCUGAUGUCUUCGGAUGGAUUUAAGUAACAGCGUAUCUGUGGGGACCCAAAA